AACCCUAAUUUCCUUUCACGCCGUUCCCCUACUCUCUCUCCAUACUCUGCUCUUCUUUGUCUUCUUUUUCAUUCUUCAACUAUCUAGACUCUAUAAUCAUCCAAUAGAAGUUAUGUUUUUAGUUUCAUUCCUCUAUGAUUUUUAUUGUACAACGAUUUAGACGCAUCAUUUAUUCGAUUCCAAUUCAGAUUCAACACAGGUGCCAUGGAUGUUAGGGUUUGAUGUUAAUGACAUAUCUGAAGAUGCAAGACAAGAUGCAAAUGAAUCCUUAUUCAUCGAUCAGAUGUAAGUGCUAAUCUUAACCUUUUUCCAGUUUAUCAUUUGUCCGUUUUUUCAGAUCUGAAGAGAAAAUGAUGACGGCGAAAAUGGUUUCUUCGUGGAGUUAAUUCAUUAAACCGUUGAUGUUUUUGGAUUAGUAAAUCAUUGGUGUUCUUCGAUUAGCAGUCAGUUAGAUACAUGUUAGUGGUGGCUCGGCCAUGGUGAUUCUGAUAUAUCUCAUCUAUCGAUCUACACACUUCCACGUUUGACGAUUUUUUGUGAAGAAAUUUUAAGAUCUGGAGGAAGGAGAACGCAAAUGUCGAAUCAGGGAACGAAGAGUCGCUCAAAUGGGAUUAUAGGGUCUGGAGGACGGUUAUCUUCUUUUUGUUUUCUUUUCCAUAUUGAUUUGUAUCUCGACUUUGUGAACAACUACUUUUCCUCUCUAUAAUAUAGUCAUUCUUAAGUGAUAUGACGAAUUUUAAUCAUAUCAGAUGAUACAAAACUCAUUUUUCAGCUUAUGCUAGGUUUUCCAUGACGAUAACAUCCAGAACUGGAAGAAUGUUGUAGGAAUUGACUUUGGCCGCAAAUAGUUUUAGGGCUAAUAUGUGAUCCUCGACCAAGUCUUGGGGUCCUGCAGGGUGUUCAUAUUUUUUUUCUCUCAUUUGGGAUCAUGUAGUUGGAGGAUUGAUUUCGGUUCGAUUUAGCCUUUAGGCACGCUUUUUGAAGCUAUUGCAGCUUAUAAAAAGAAAAUCGGAUUCAAUGGAACGUUUCUUAUUGAGGCUAAGCCUCAAGAAUCAACGAAGCACCAAUAUGACUCGGAUGCCGCCACUCCAGCGAAUUUCUUACGCAAGUAUUGACUUAUAGGAGAAUUCAUGAAUAUUGAAUGUAACCAUGCUACUUUAUCCGAGCACAGUUGCCAUCAUGAGCUUGAAACAGCAAGAAUCAAUGGUUUGGUAGGAAAUAUCGAUGCCAACCCUCAAGUCGGUAUGAUUUGGAGCCAUAAUUGUUAAUGGCGAAUAGCGACAAAUAGUGAUAAGGUUGGGAUACAAAUCAAUUUUUUAUGGGCGUCAAUGAAGCCACUUUGGUUAUGCUUGAUGUUAUUAAAAACGGUGGACUUUCGCCUGAAGGAUUAUUUGUCUACUAGCUGUGACAAAAUGUUAAUUAGUUAAUUGUUGAUUGUUGAUUAUUUAUUCCAACUCCUACAAGAAUAUUUUACAAGCAUUUAACUUUGACAUGUAUGUUCUAUAGCUCAUUUACCGAAACCAGGCUGAUACCAGGUUGAUGGAAAACUUUAUGCUAUGACCUUUUGCAGUUAGUAUCAAUGAUGUAGAUGCACUUCUCGGACAGUUGGGUUAUUGAGUGAAUCUUAUGACAGAUGUGGUAAAGUUUGUUCAAAGAAUAGUCAAUCUUAUGAUAGAAGUGGUGAAGUUUGUUCAGAGUAUGCCAAGACAGAGUAUGCCAAGACACUCUGUUUAGGAACCAUGCUAAUAACCACUAAGAGGCGAAAAGCUAUCUGGGCGAUUUAUGGUGAGGAUCUUCAUUCAUUAUGUAACAAGUUUAUGUAUCGAUAUGUCUAAAUGAUGGGUACAAAUGUAAAAAUUUUCUAGAUAGACUUGUGGUAUAGGUUGACGCUUGAGCUUUCUUAUCAAUAAGUGAUCAUAAUGAGUUUGUACUGUUGAGCUA